GCAGCAUAUCCGAGAGCGGUAUAGUGACAUGUGAUCAGGGCUAUGAAUACAUCCACCCGCAGCCUGUGUGCAUGGGAACGCAGACAAUCGAACGCUGUAGCAGCUCCAUGUCCCAAGAUCAAUCGCAAGCUAACAAAGUAGUGCCCUGUCCGAAUCUCUACAGACGUGGAAGUGAUGGAAUCAGCUGUGUAAGGUGUUCUUGCGACGCACACGGAACAGAGAGCUGUGAUUCUGACACUGGAGUGUGUUUUUGCAAAAACUACGUGGAUGGUAAACAAUGUGACGUGUGCUCUGAUGGCAGUUACACAGCGUCUACUCAUCUAGACUCCUGCACCCCAUGUUCCUGUGUGGCUAACACUACUCAAGCCAAUAAUACAUGUGACAUGAGUAGUGGUAUUUGUAAUUGCUUGGAAAAAUAUUCCGGUCACAGAUGUCAGUCUUGUAGUCUGGGCCACUACCAAUCAGGAAAGGACUGCAUACCUUGUGAAUGUAGCUCUAAAGGUGCUAAUGACAACCACUGUAAUGUUGCUACUGGACAGUGCAAAUGCAAACCUGGGUAUGGAGGAAGGCAAUGCUCUGUGUGUGCAAACG